UACGUAGGGUGCAAGCGUUGUCCGGAAUCAUUGGGCGUAAAGCGCGCGUAGGCGGCCCUGUAAGUCCGUUGUGAAAGUCAAAGGCUCAACCUUUGAAAGCCGAUGGAUACUGCAGGGCUAGAGUCCGGAAGAGGCGAGUGGAAUUCCUGGUGUAGCGGUGGAAUGCGCAGAUAUCAGGAGGAACACCAAUAGCGAAGGCAGCUCGCUGGGACGGUACUGACGCUAAAGCGCGAAAGCGUGGGGAGCGAACAGG
rnacentral:rRNA from 1 species